rnacentral:rRNA from 1 species
UACGGGGGGGGCAAGCGUUGUUCGGAAUUACUGGGCGUAAAGGGCUCGUAGGUGGCCAACUAAGUCAUACGUGAAAUCCCUCAGCUUAACUGGGGAACUGCGCCUGAUACUGGUUGGCUUGAGUUUGGGAGAGGGACGCGGAAUUCCAGGUGUAGCGGUGAAAUGCGUAGAUAUCUGGAGGAACACCGGUGGCGAAGGCGGCGUCCUGGACCAAUACUGACACUGAGGAACGAAAGCUAGGGGAGCAAACAGG